rnacentral:lncRNA from 1 species
UGUAAAUCAAGCCUCAUUUUUUAGCCUAUGCUCUGGAUAUCAUGAGCCUGUUUCAAGCCAAUCUAGUGAGCAACACCAUAAUGUAGUAAAAAAAAAGCUUAAGUAAUUUCUAAGAAUUGAAUAUGAAUAUUUAUCGUGGAACACAAAUUGUUUGUCAAGAACGAAAAGAGAGAAAAAUCUCAAAUUUGCGUAUCAGUAGAUCAUAUGGUAUACCGCCUAAGACAUGUUAUGCUCCAAGGGAUAUGUCACAACACACGUCACUUUAUAGUGUGUUUAGUUGAUAGACUAUUAAUGUGCGAUAUGGUAAUUUAUUAGGUUUAUUUUAUUUGGAUUACUUCCAAAUAGAUGAUAUGGUUAGUUCAAUAGUUUGUAGUAAUAAU